rfam:Brassica oleracea var. oleracea cultivar TO1000 chromosome C4, whole genome shotgun sequence
GGGCCUUAAGCGUAGGGUCCCUUAACUUUUAACUAAAAACGCUAAGGGACGGCCCUUAAAUAAGAGAUUUGAGAGAAGUCCCUUAGCGUUUUUAGUUAAAAGUUAAGGACCCUACGCUUAAGGGCC